ensembl:snRNA U6 U6 spliceosomal RNA
GUGUUACUUCGGUAUCACAUCUACUAAAAUUGGAACGAUACAGAGAAGAUUAGCAUUACCGUACCAAAAUGAACCAACGAAGACGGAGGACUACUCUAAGGUAAGUUUUU